CUGACGGAACCGUUCCAGGUGGAUGAAGGGUGUGAUCGGAGCGGCCUGAGUGGAGUCUGUGGAAACUGGGAAAUAGUGGGCCUUAAGCUGGGAAUGUGGAUUCAGGCCAGAAUGUGGAAGGAAACUAAGGCGCUUGGACUUCAUCCUAGUGGAAGAACUGCAAUCCAGUGACUAAGCAGCUAGGAUAGAAUGUGUGUAUUUUGAGACGUGUUUCUACAUAUCAACAGCAAGGCAAGAGGAAUCCAGGAAGUUCCAGCAACCCAGGCAGGAUCAGCUUGGCGGAGAGCAUCUCCUCUUUCACCCUCUGUAGGGUUAUGGGGAAAGCUCUGGU